rnacentral:rRNA from 1 species
UCGCUCCUACCGAUUGAGCGGUCCGGUGAAGACUCAAGAGAUAUGUGCGUGUUUGGUUUCCAUUCGCGUUGCGUGUCGAAUUUGUCUAAACCUUAUCGCUUAGAGGAAGGAG